AUGGAUUAAGGUGAAUACAUAGGC
rnacentral:miRNA from 1 species